GAGUUUGAUCGUAGCUCAGAUUGAACGCUGGCGGCAUGCCUUACACAUGCAAGUCGAACGGCAGCAUGAUCUAGCUUGCUAGAUUGAUGGCGAGUGGCGAACGGGUGAGUAAUACAUCGGAACGUGCCCUGUAGUGGGGGAUAACUAGUCGAAAGAUUAGCUAAUACCGCAUACGACCUGAGGGUGAAAGUGGGGGACCGCAAGGCCUCAUGCUAUAGGAGCGGCCGAUGUCUGAUUAGCUAGUUGGUGGGGUAAAGGCCCACCAAGGCGACGAUCAGUAGCUGGUCUGAGAGGACGAUCAGCCACACUGGGACUGAGACACGGCCCAGACUCCUACGGGAGGCAGCAGUGGGGAAUUUUGGACAAUGGGCGAAAGCCUGAUCCAGCAAUGCCGCGUGUGUGAAGAAGGCCUCGGUGU
rnacentral:rRNA from 1 species